rnacentral:rRNA from 1 species
CAUGGCCCUUAUAUCCAGGGCUACACACACGCUACAAUGGCCGGCACAGUGGGCUGCAAUACCGCGAGGUGGAGCCAAUCCUCAAAGCCGGCCCCAGUUCAGAUUGGAGGCUGCAACCCGCCUCCAUGAAGUCGGAGUUGCUAGUAACCGCAGGUCAGCUAUACUGCGGUGAAUACGUUCCCGGGUCUU